GACAGAGGGUGCAAACGUUGUUCGGAAUACUGGGCGUAAAGCGUGCGCAGGCGGUUCGUUAAGUCAGCUGUGAAAGCCCCGGGCUUAACCUGGGAACUGGCGGUUGAAACUGGCGAACUUGAAUCUGGCAGAGGGGGGUGGAAUUCCGACGUGUAGCAGGUGAAAUGCGUAGAGAUGUGGAGGAACACCGAUGGCGAAGGCAAUCCCCUGGGCCUGCACUGACGCUCCAGUGCACGAAAGCGUGGGGAGCAAACAGG
rnacentral:rRNA from 1 species